AAAAACGAAAGGAACAAAAAUGUAUCAAUCUCAAUAACAUGAAUACUUAUAAAUUGUUAUUGUUAUAGUGAAAAAAACUCAACGAAGAGAUCGAGUGAUUCUCAUGGAAGAAUUUAAGUUGCCUGAUCCAAUUAAACUAAGUGAAAAACGCAACAAAGAUCAAGUGAUUCUGCAGAUAGAAGAAUUUAAGUCUUGUGAUCCAAUUAAACCAAGGGAUUGGUGGUUGUACGAUUAAUCACCCAGUUAAUGAUAGCAUCUUUUCGAUUUUAUUCCUACUAAUGCUAUCAAGUGCAACGUCAAUUAUGGAAGUUAGUCUUGUGUCGCAUUCGACUUGUAUCAUCAUUUUGGUCUCAUGGGUCUUCUUGAUUGCAAUUGUUGUUCGGGUUAAUUGGCAAAAGAUCUCUAUUUAUGAUAUAUUAUUAGCCUCACAAGGAAUGAUGAAAUUCAUACCAACUAUUUGUGUUCUUUCUUUAGUUUGCGAUAUUAUUUUCCUACUGCACAUUUUUAAUUCUUAAUUUUGUUUUCUUCUUCUCUAUAGACUACUUUGUAAUUUUCUUUA